rnacentral:tRNA from 3 species
CGGGGUGUGGCUCAGCCUGGCUAGAGCACCUGCUUUGGGAGCAGGGGGUCGCCGGUUCAAAUCCGGCCACCCCGA